UGAAAUUGCGCCAUCUUUGAAUACAUACUAUCCAAUCUCUCUACCCAAACCCACCUGACCCGUUUGGCCCAAUGACCCGUUCACCUCUCAUUAAAAUCCCAACCCAAAAGACCAUAUUCAUCAGAUCUUAGAGUUGACCAACUAUGUUCAUUCAUCUUCUCAAAAUAGGAGCACCAGAGAACACAAACCCCCUCCCCCCAUGGUCACCCCCUCAUCUGCACCUCACACAUAAUGUACUUGUUCACUCUCUCAUAUUCUCUCAUCUAUAUUCACGCCAUGUUACUCUCACUUACACCAUUUACAAGCACUCAAGGAAAAAGAGCCGAAAACUCAAAUAACCAGCUAAAAAUUAGAUUCUCAACUGCUAAAAACACUUAGCAAUAGUUAUACAUCUAGGAAAAUCUGAUAGUCACUGCAUGUUUGAAAUGAAAGAAGAAUUUCAGAUCUGGAAAAAUCUCUGAUUUAGCUUCAAGCUGUUAGAUCUUCGAAGCUGAUUUUCUGCAAUUGCGGGCCUUGUCGAACUUUUGUCGUUGCAUUGCUCGGAUUGUUUGAUAGAGUUCCAUCCUCCAACUGUGGCUGUUUCUGACUUUAUUUGGCUAGCUCUAUUUUAAUUUUUGUCGUUAAGCUAUAGAUUCUCUUGUAUUUCUGGGCUUUCAAAGUAGAUUCAACUGUGAUCUAUUGCUUGUUUGUUGCUGCUGCUUCAUUCCAUGGCUGCAACUGAUUCUUUGCCUCUAUUUUGUUAUUUUUAAGACCUUACCACUGUUGUAGAGGUAUCUGCUCUCGUCGUCUUCAUAUUUGACAUGCGAAUUUAUAUGGAUAGACAUAUUUUGUUUCCCCUGCGAAUCCAUGAUUGUUCCCUGAUUUGAGCUCAUGUUCCAUUAAAUUUUAGUUUGUAUGGGACCUGGGCAUAUGCCCGAAAUCGAAUUCCGAGGUCCCUAGCCUGAGUAAUGAAUUUUUCUGUAAAAUUGUUAAACUGAAGUUUUAAAGAAAUAAAU
rnacentral:lncRNA from 1 species